GUGUCAGCCGCCGCGGUAAGACGAAGGGGGCAAGCGUUGCUCGGAAUCACUGGGCUUAAAGAGGACGUAGGCGGUCCGGCCAGUCGGAUGUGAAAUCCCUUGGCUCAACUGAGGAAUGGCAUUCGAUACUGCCGGACUUGAGGUGCUCAGGGGCGAGUGGAACUCUCGGUGGAGCGGUGAAAUGCGUAGAUGUCGAGAGGAACGCCAAUGGUGAAGACAGCUCGCUGGGGGCAUCCUGACGCUGAGGUCCGAAAGCUAGGGGAGCAAACGGGAUUAGAUACCCCGGUAGUCCUAGCCCUAAACGAUGCGCACUAGGUGGAGGAGGCUCUGACGGUCAUCCCCGCCGCAGCGAAAGCGUUAAGUGCGCCGCCUGGGGAGUACGGUCGCAAGGCUAAAACUCAAAGGAAUUGACGGGG
rnacentral:rRNA from 1 species